rnacentral:siRNA from 1 species
AGUUUAGCUUCUCGGAAUCGGUGU